UACGUAGGGGGCGAGCGUUGUCCGGAUUCAUUGGGCGUAAAGCGCUUUAAGGCGGUUCGCUAAGUCGGGUGUGAAACCUCCAGGCUCAACCUGGAGACGCCACUCGAUACUGGCGUGACUAGAGUCCGGUAGGGGACCACGGAAUUCCUGGUGUAGCGGUGAAAUGCGCAGAUAUCAGGAGGAACACCGAUGGCGAAGGCAGCUCGCUGGGACGGUAUUGACGCUGAGGAGCGAAAGCGUGGGGAGCGAACAGG
rnacentral:rRNA from 1 species